rnacentral:rRNA from 1 species
GAUGAAUGCUGGCGGCGUGCCUAACACAUGCAAGUCGAGCGGCAGCGCGAGUAGUUUACUACUUGGCGGCGAGCGGCGGACGGCUGAGUAACGCGUGGGAACGUGCCCCAAAGCGAGGGAUAACGCACCGAAAGGUGUGCUAAUACCGCAUAUGGUCUUCGGAUUAAAGAAUUUAUUCGCUUUGGGAGCGGCCCGCGUCGGAUUAGGUAGUUGGUAGGGUAAUGGCCUACCAAGCCGACGAUCCGUAGCUGGUCUGAGAGGAUGAUCAGCCAGACUGGAACUGAGACACGGUCCAGACUCCUACGGGAGGCAGCAGUGUGGAAUCUUCCACAAUGGGCGAAAGCCUGAUGGAGCAACGCCGCGUGCAGGAUGAAGGCCUUCGGGUUGUAAACUGCUUUUAUAAGUGAAGAAUAUGACGGUAACUUAUGAAUAAGCACCGGCUAACUACGUGCCAGCCGCCGCCGUAA